UUCAAAUUCAGCAAUCAGGAGUCCGCCUGGAGAACAGAGACAUACAAAUUCAAGUUCAGCAAUCAGGAGCCCGCCUGGAUAAUAGAGGAAUGUAUUCAAGUCCAAGUUCAUUCAAGGUCAGCAAUUGGGAGGGAAGGAACAACACUCCAGUUCAUGAUUUAAAGAAACAACAAAAGAAAGUACAAGACAACAAGGCAACAAGAGAGAAUACAAGAUUGUAAGACAACAAGGAAGUGUAAG
rnacentral:lncRNA from 1 species